UGAAACAGCAUACCGCAUGACAGGGAAGGC
rnacentral:piRNA from 1 species